rnacentral:rRNA from 1 species
AUUGAACGCUGGCGGCAGGCUUAACACAUGCAAGUCGAGCGGGCGAGGUUGCUUCGGUAACUGAGCUAGCGGCGGACGGGUGAGUAAUGCUUAGGAAUCUGCCUAUUAGUGGGGGACAACAUUCCGAAAGGAAUGCUAAUACCGCAUACGCCCUACGGGGGAAAGCAGGGGAUCUUCGGACCUUGCGCUAAUAGAUGAGCCUAAGUCAGAUUAGCUAGUUGGUGGGGUAAAGGCCUACCAAGGCGACGAUCUGUAGCGGGUCUGAGAGGAUGAUCCGCCACACUGGGACUGAGACACGGCCCAGACUCCUACGGGAGGCAGCAGUGGGGAAUAUUGGACAAUGGGCGCAAGCCUGAUCCAGCCAUGCCGCGUGUGUGAAGAAGGCCUUUUGGUUGUAAAGCACUUUAAGCGAGGAGGAGGCUACUUGGAUUAAUACUCUAGGAUAGUGGACGUUACUCGCAGAAUAAGCACCGGCUAACUCUGUGCCAGCAGCCGCGGUAAUACAGAGGGUGCGAGCGUUAAUCGGAUUUACUGGGCGUAAAGUGUGCGUAGGCGGCUUCUUAAGUCGGAUGUGAAAUCCCUGAGCUUAACUUAGGAAUUGCAUUCGAUACUGGGAAGCUAGAGUAUGGGAGAGGAUGGUAGAAUUCCAGGUGUAGCGGUGAAAUGCGUAGAGAUCUGGAGGAAUACCGAUGGCGAAGGCAGCCAUCUGGCCUAAUACUGACGCUGAGGUACGAAAGCAUGGGGAGCAAA